CAUGCAAGUCGAGCGGACUAAGAGCGAUCUUCGGAUCGCUCAAGGUUAGCGGCGGACGGGUGAGUAACACGUAGGUAACCUGCCCAUAAGACUGGGAUAACUACCGGAAACGGUAGCUAAUACCGGAUAGGUUCUUCUCUCGCAUGGGAGAGGAAAGAAAGACGGAGCAAUCUGUCACUUAUGGAUGGACCUGCGGCGCAUUAGCUAGUUGGUGAGGUAACGGCUCACCAAGGCGACGAUGCGUAGCCGACCUGAGAGGGUGAUCGGCCACACUGGGACUGAGACACGGCCCAGACUCCUACGGGAGGCAGCAGUAGGGAAUCUUCCGCAAUGGGCGAAAGCCUGACGGAGCAACGCCGCGUGAGUGAUGAAGGUUUUCGGAUCGUAAAGCUCUGUUGCCAGGGAAGAACGUCUCUUAGAGUAACUGCUAAGAGAGUGACGGUACCUGAGAAGAAAGCCCCGGCUAACUAC
rnacentral:rRNA from 1 species